GAUGAACGCUGGCGGCGUGCCUAACACAUGCAAGUCGAGCGAGAUGUAUAUGGACGAAACUUCGGUCUAGGAAAUAUAUUGACAGCGGCGGACGGGUGAGUAACGCGUAGGCAACCUGCCCUUAACACAGGGAUAGCCUCGGGAAACCGGGAUUAAAACCUGAUAAUGCCAAAUAGUCACAUGGCUGUUUGGCCAAAGAUUUAUCGGUUAAGGAUGGGCCUGCGUCUGAUUAGUUUGUUGGUGGGGUAACGGCCUACCAAGACUACGAUCAGUAGCCGACCUGAGAGGGUGAUCGGCCACAUUGGAACUGAGACACGGUCCAAACUCCUACGGGAGGCAGCAGUGGGGAAUAUUGCACAAUGGGCGAAAGCCUGAUGCAGCAACGCCGCGUGAGCGAUGAAGGCCUUUGGGUCGUGAAGCUCUGUCCUUGGGGAAGAAAAAAAUGACGGUACCCAAGGAGGAAGCCCCGGCUAACUACGUGCCAGCCGCCGCCGUAAAAC
rnacentral:rRNA from 1 species